AGCUUAUUUUGAUAUCAUUGUUUUCUGGCCCAAAACCGAAGGGCCUCUUAUGCCACUUUGGGCUAAUAACUGUCCAGAUAGAAGGAGAAGGGCAAUCACCGAAAUCCGUCUGAUUCUGAGAGCUCCGAUGAAUCGUCGGCUUCUGCCAUCGUUUUCGAGAUUAUUAACGUUUUUGUCGUUAUUUUGGUCUUAUCACUUCAUUCUAGUAAUUCUACCCUCCAAGGCAAGCUAGCAAAGGAGUUGAGGUAUACGGUCGCCAUUGCGGAAUCCUCAGAGAAGUUCAAGUUGUCAACAAGAAUUGACUGAGUCUGGAAAGAGAUGGGAUUCAGUUGCAUGGAGGUUUGAUGGCAUUAGGAUGUCUCAGUCUUAUGAGGAGCUUGUAUGAGCAACGGAAUCCCAAAGGUAUGCUUCUUGAUUAUAGCUAGUGGUGCUGUGAGACUGCUGUUUGCUGAAAUUCAGAUAUCUGCUUGGAGGAGGAGGAAAGUUGUAAUGCUCAACAGAUGCAUUUCAUGAGCAAGUAUUGGCAGAAUUAUUUGGGAAUUCAGAUAGAUAAUUUCAAACGCAUGCUCUUUUGAACGGCAAGUAAAGAGAUUCUAUGUUUUAAUGGAUGAGAUUGCAUUUCAUCCUGAACUAUGAUUGUAAAAAUUUGGACUGCUGUAUCGAGUGAUCCUACUUUGUUAGAGUUUUCAGGUUCAAUGGAACACUUCAGUGUGAAAUAAGCUUGAAUCCCAGCAUCCCUGUUGUUAACAGAUGCAUGUCUGCCCUUAACAUGUGCUAUGAUCUUAUUUAGCUGUGCAAUUGGUGUCAAUAACCCCACGGACCGAUGUUUUUAGUAAAAACUGAAUAAGUUUCUCCGAGAAAAUAAAAUUGUGGCCAGCAAAUAGAUUAUGGCUUAUUCAACAGCUGCCUUCGGUCUACUAAUGGCCAAGGAGACCAUAACUCAGUCUCUUGACUUUGCUCUCUCCAAAUUUUUUCGUAAACUUGCAUAACCUUAAGACAGUUAAAGAGGGAGAAAAAGCUUUGUCGUCUAAUAUCCCUAGGGCUGGAAAGUCAAGAAUCAGGUUACAUCGUAGUGGAAGUCUAAAAAUAUACUUGAUUCGCCCAAUUUUCUCAAAUGCCUGUAUUCUGUGAGUUGCUGCGAAAAUUCGUAAGCUUCUUGACAUGUGACUUGCAUAUUCUGCAACUCUCUUUGUUAUUCAACUUACCUGAAUUGUACUAAUUCGUUGACUAUGUGGACAGCAUAACAACUUUAUUUUCCUGGUACUAUUCACUUCCAACCCUUUCUUGAAUUAAUACUACCACGACCUCAAUGAUAGAUGGAACUUUGGUAGUUUCUCAAAAGGGCAAAGGGUUGUGUUACUGAUUUUUAUAAACUUCAGAAGAGGUUAAGGUAUCAUGAUAGAGGAUGUUGAUUCUGCUCCAUAGGAUCAAAUUUGCUGUAACCUGAAGCAUGCUGAUUUCAUAUGCUGACCUCCCAGUCUCAGCAUUGAUAAGAUUUAAGGAUGUAGUUUGAGGAACUGAUCUUUAUUCUGGAGCUGGAUUCCUGAAUGGCACUAGUAACACAAUGAGUCUCGAUUCACAUCCUUUGUCUUGACUUACUAGAAAGGUCCAUUGUUCACCUCUCCUGUAACAUUUGGAUUAUGUACUUUGGUUAUGUCGAGGCUGAAGGCCUGGCUGUGUAAUAACAUUUAAAAAUCUGUAAUAAUAAUCGGAAUUUUGGAAUGAAA